CUACGGGGCGCACCAGUGGGGAAUAUUGCACAAUGGGCGCAAGCCUGAUGCAGCAACGCCGCGUGAGGGAUGAAGGCCUUCGGGUUGUAAACCUCUUUUAGCAGGGAAGAAGCGAAAGUGACGGUACCUGCAGAAAAAGCACCGGCUAACUACGUGCCAGCAGCCGCGGUAAUACGUAGGGUGCAAGCGUUGUCCGGAAUUAUGGGCGUAAAGAGCUCGUAGGCGGUUUGUCACGUCUGCUGUGAAAAUCCAAGGCUCAACCUUGGACUUGCAGUGGGUACGGGCAGGCUAGAGUGCGGAAGGGGAGAGGGGAAUUCCUGGUGUAGCGGUGGAAUGCGCAGAUAUCAGGAGGAACACCAAUGGCGAAGGCACAUCUCUGGGCCGUAACUGACGCUGAGGAGCGAAAGCGUGGGGAGCGAACAGGAUUAGAUACCCGAGUAGUC
rnacentral:rRNA from 1 species